CUAUAGAACCUUUUGUUCUAUCGAACCUUUUGUUCUAUCGAACAAAAGCGUCUAAAGACCAAAAGCGUCUA
rnacentral:tRNA from 1 species